rnacentral:rRNA from 1 species
GACGAACGCUGGCGGCGUGCUUAACACAUGCAAGUCGAACGGAAAGGCCCUGCUUUUGUGGGGUGCUCGAGUGGCGAACGGGUGAGUAACACGUGAGUAACCUGCCCUUGACUUUGGGAUAACUUCAGGAAACUGGGGCUAAUACCGGAUAGGAGCUCCUGCUGCAUGGUGGGGGUUGGAAAGUUUCGGCGGUUGGGGAUGGACUCGCGGCUUAUCAGCUUGUUGGUGGGGUAGUGGCUUACCAAGGCUUUGACGGGUAGCCGGCCUGAGAGGGUGACCGGCCACAUUGGGACUGAGAUACGGCCCAGACUCCUACGGGAGGCAGCAGUGGGGAAUAUUGCACAAUAGGCGGAAGCCUGAUGCAGCAACGCCGCGUGCGGGAUGACGGCCUUCGGGUUGUAAACCGCUUUCGCCUGUGACGAAGCGUGAGUGACGGUAAUGGGUAAAGAAGCACCGGCUAACUACGUG